UACGUAGGUGGCAAGCGUUAUCCGGAAUUAUUGGGCGUAAAGCGCGCGUAGGCGGUUUUUUAAGUCUGAUGUGAAAGCCCACGGCUCAACCGUGGAGGGUCAUUGGAAACUGGAAAACUUGAGUGCAGAAGAGGAAAGUGGAAUUCCAUGUGUAGCGGUGAAAUGCGCAGAGAUAUGGAGGAACACUAGUGGCGAAGGCGACUUUCUGGUCUGUAACUGACGCUGAUGUGCGAAAGCGUGGGGAUCAAACAGGAUUAGAU
rnacentral:rRNA from 1 species